rnacentral:rRNA from 1 species
GUCUAUGGCCAUACCACCCAGAACGCACCCAAUCUGGUCUGAUCUCGGAAGCUAAGCAGGGUCGGGCCUGGUUAGUACUUGGAUGGAAGAAAAGCUACUUCUCUCUGACCCUCAGAUCCCUACGUGCAGAAAACU